rnacentral:lncRNA from 1 species
CUGCCAGGGAAGGCUGCCCCAGAUGUGUGGUGAGCACAGUCAGUGCAGCUGUGGCUGGGGCAGCAGCUGCCACAGGCUCCUCCCUAUAAAUUAAGUUCCUGCAGCCACAGCUGUGGGAGAAGCAUACUUGUAGAAGCAAGGCCAGUCCAGCAUCAGAAGGCAGAGGCAGCAUCACUGACUCCCAGCCAUGGAAUGAACGGAGGGCACAGAGCUCAGAGACAGAACAGGCCAGGGGGAAAAAGGAGAGACAGAACAGGCCAGGGCAUGGCGGUGAGGGACUGAGGCCCCUAAAUUUU